rnacentral:rRNA from 1 species
UACGUAGGGUGCAAGCGUUGUCCGGAAUUAUUGGGCGUAAAGAGCUCGUAGGCGGUUUGUCGCGUCUGCUGUGAAAACCCGAGGCUCAACCUCGGGCCUGCAGUGGGUACGGGGCAGACUAGAGUGAUGUAGGGGAGACUGGAAUUCCUGGUGUAGCGGUGAAAUGCGCAGAUAUCAGGAGGAACACCGAUGGCGAAGGCAGGUCUCUGAGCAUUAACUGACGCUGAGGAGCGAAAGCAUGGGGAGCGAACAGG